AGUGAACGCUGGCGGUAGGCCUAACACAUGCAAGUCGAACGGCAGCACAGUAAGAGCUUGCUCUUACGGGUGGCGAGUGGCGGACGGGUGAGGAAUACAUCGGAAUCUACUUUUUCGUGGGGGAUAACGUAGGGAAACUUACGCUAAUACCGCAUACGACCUACGGGUGAAAGCAGGGGAUCUUCGGACCUUGCGCGAUUGAAUGAGCCGAUGUCGGAUUAGCUAGUUGGCGGGGUAAAGGCCCACCAAGGCGACGAUCCGUAGCUGGUCUGAGAGGAUGACCAGCCACACUGGAACGGAGACACGGUCAAGACUCAGACGGGAGGCAGCAGUGGGGAAUAUUGGACAAUGGGCGAAAGCCUGAUCCCAUACCGCGUGGGUGAAGAAGGCCUUCGGGUUGUAAAGCCCUUUUGUUGGGAAAGAAAAGCAGCAGGUUAAUACCCCGCUGUUCUGACGGUACCCAAAGAAUAAGCACCGGCUAACUUCGUG
rnacentral:rRNA from 1 species